rnacentral:rRNA from 1 species
UACGAAGGGGGCUAGCGUUGCUCGGAAUUACUGGGCGUAAAGCGCACGUAGGCGGCUCUUUAAGUCGGGGGUGAAAUCCUGGAGCUCAACUCCAGAACUGCCUUCGAUACUGAAGAGCUUGAGUCCGGGAGAGGUGAGUGGAACUGCGAGUGUAGAGGUGAAAUUCGUAGAUAUUCGCAAGAACACCAGUGGCGAAGGCGGCUCACUGGCCCGGUACUGACGCUGAGGUGCGAAAGCGUGGGGAGCAAACAGG